rfam:Gossypium raimondii chromosome 10, whole genome shotgun sequence.
CACGUCAGCGCGCUUUGCUGACAUGGCAACAAAUCACGUCCUCUAGAGCGCGAUUUGUGUCCACGUCAGCAAAGCGCGCUGACGUGG